GUGCGGUUGGCACAGUGGUCAGCGCGUUCGCUUCCUAAAGGUUGGCAACCUUACGGAAUCGAAAACGGCACCGAUGGGUGGGACCGGGGGGCAGCAUAGACGUAUGUUGCCUUGGGAACCGCGAAAGAUCCCGGGUUCGAAUUCCGGACCGCACA
rnacentral:tRNA from 1 species